rnacentral:rRNA from 1 species
UACGGGGGGGGCAAGCGUUGUUCGGAAUUACUGGGCGUAAAGGGCUCGUAGGUGGCCAACUAAGUCAUACGUGAAAUCCCUCGGCUUAACCGGGGAACUGCGCCUGAUACUGGUUGGCUUGAGUUUGGGAGAGGGACGCGGAAUUCCAGGUGUAGCGGUGAAAUGCGUAGAGAUGGGGAGGAACACCGGUGGCGAAGGCGGCCACCUGGACGGUAACUGACGCUGAGACGCGAAAGCGUGGGGAGCAAACAGG